AAGGAGGCAGAGGUGAUGAAUCGCCAGCGAAGACAAUUGGUUCAAAGGGAAGCUACACGUCGAAAACGAAAAAACCCAAGAAACCAAAUAAAAGACCCGUCAGUGGAUCUAAAUCGAAGCAAGGUUCAUUAAGAGCAAAGUGCGUAGUGAGAGCAAAAAAAGGUUCAUGCGAUGAUUACAGCGACAUGUGGUAUAACAAUCCCGGCUUCUACACCUGUAGCCGUGUGCCAGAAGGGUGGUGCCCAACGCGCAGUUCAUUCUUUGAAUCCUGUGAAGAGUGCAUGGAGAAUUGCCAAAAAACCAGGAUAAAGCAAUGCGACUUUAAGAGCUGAACAUCCACAACAAGGAAGCAGU
rnacentral:lncRNA from 1 species